GUGAAUGCAGGAACUACAUGAACUUGUGGUUGAUCCUUGUCUUCCCAAACGUUUGACCGAUCAUCAAUUACCAUUCCCAUCUUUGGAUGACACAUGCCAUCUUGGAAGACAUUUGACAAAGAUUUCCUGGAUCCUGAUUUAACACAAACUAUGUGGUCCAGAAGUUGCUUAGCAGCUAUCAGGUGUGACUCUGGAUCAAGAAGCCUCCA
rnacentral:misc_RNA from 1 species